UACGAAGGGGGCUAGCGUUGCUCGGAUUGACUGGGCGUAAAGGGCGCGUAGGCGGUUCGUACAGUCAGACGUGAAAUUCCUGGGCUCAACCUGGGGGCUGCGUUCGAUACGUGCGGACUUGAGUGCGGAAGAGGGUCGUGGAAUUCCCAGUGUAGAGGUGAAAUUCGUAGAUAUUGGGAAGAGCACCGGUGGCGAAGGCGGCGACCUGGUCCGAUACUGACGCUGAGGCGCGAAAGCGUGGGGAGCAAACAGG
rnacentral:rRNA from 1 species